CUUCUCUCCUAAACAAAUCGAGCGCUGCUCGGUGCUCGCCCUGCCUCUGCCCUCACAACAUCCGCCGGCCGCCGCCAACUCCUUGCGCCCUUCUAUCGGCGGCCACUCUACUUCACUGCGGUUGCAGCCAGUUUGCCGGUCGGUGCGCCUAUUCGUGCAUGGGCAAAAGGUAGCUGCGAUGGCUCUCAAGUGGUGCAUUCGUCAUGCUGGCGUUCCAAAGCUCGCUGGUGAGGAACCAGCCAUUUUCUUUUUCCAGCCUGUACGCGAGCCAUCGCCCAGCUCUAGCUGCACCCAUCCUCUCGCUUACUAGUGCGACCGUGGGGAGGCCCUCCUAUGUGCCCGUCGGUGCCUCCUCCGUGUCGACCCCUCAUGCUUACCAGGUCACGUACGAGGACAUCCACCUUCUUCCUAGAUGUGGCGAUGGUCACCAGGCCAAUUAACAUUCACAGGGCCACCAUCGAGGUCGUCGAGGCAUCGUGCUAGCAUGAAGUUGCAGGUUGCUGCUGACCUGCUUCCUUCUUCGUGCUUGCGGCCGUCGAUCUGGCCAUUCUUGCCAAGUCUGAGGUGAAUGAUUAACAAGAGGGAAUAGUAGAAUUAGCUUUGCUUUUAUCAGCAUUCAGCCAUACUGCUACCGUUGGAUCAGGUAGCUUACAUAAAAAGACAACUCCCAUUAUCUCAUAGUUUGUGUUAUAUACGAUGUUCAGAACAUGGAUACCUGUGUUGUUUAUGUUCAUGACUUAAUUCGCUUUAGCUUUUCA